rnacentral:rRNA from 1 species
UACGAAGGGGGCUAGCGUUGCUCGGAAUCACUGGGCGGAAAGCGCACGUAGGCGGACUCUUAAGUCGGUGGUGAAAUCCUGGAGCUCAACUCCAGAACUGCCUUCGAUACUGAGAGUCUUGAGUCCGGGAGAGGUGAGUGGAACUGCGAGUGUAGAGGUGAAAUUCGUAGAUAUUCGCAAGAACACCAGUGGCGAAGGCGGCUCACUGGCCCGGUACUGACGCUGAGGUGCGAAAGCGUGGGGAGCAAACAGG